UACGUAGGCAGCAAGCGUUGUUCGGAGUUACUGGGCGUAAAGGGUGUGUAGGCGGUUGGAUAAGUGUGGUGUGAAAUCUCCCGGCUUAACUUGGAGGGUGCGCUACAAACUGUCUGACUAGAGUGUGGGAUGGGAGAGUGGAAUUCCUGGUGUAGCGGUGAAAUGCGUAGAUAUCAGGAGGAACACCGGUGGUGUAGACGGCUCUCUGGACCAUAACUGACGCUGAGACACGAAAGCGUGGGUAGCAAACAGG
rnacentral:rRNA from 1 species